rnacentral:rRNA from 1 species
CCCUUAGAUGUUCUGGGCCGCACGCGCGCUACACUGACUACUUCAACGAGUUGUUUCCUUGAUCGAAAGGUCUGGGUAAUCUUUGAAAGGUAGUCGUGAUGGGGAUAGAUCUUUGGAAUUAUUGAUCUUGAACGAGGAAUGCCUAGUAAUCGUAGGUCAUCAGCCUGCGAUGAUUACGUCCCUGCCCUUUGUACACACCGCCCGUCGCUCCUACCGAUUUCGAGUGGUUCGGUGAACCUUUCGGACCGGCAAUGCCUCGUGUUGCGCCGGAAAGUCAAGUAAACCAUAUCACUUAGAGGAAGGAGAAGUCGUAACA